GGCCAGCGGCAGGAACGCCUCCUGCCCCCGCGACCUCUGACAUUUCCUAACCAAAAACGAGUACUUCCGGGGCUUACGCCCAGCCACCCCGACUAAGGGAGAAAAGUGGACCAGAGCCGACGUGAGACUACAAAUCCCAGAGGGCCCUGCUCUUGUUUCCGGGAAGGAGAUCCAGAAUGAUUUGCUCGGUGGGAUUGGUAGUCUGGAUUUUCCACCCACACAGCCGGCUUCCAAUUUUCCGAGUACAAUGCUGAGAGAAGUUUGACGUUUGUGUAACAUUUUAGAGAUUGCCGUGUACUUGCACAAACAACACCUUACUACAUGGUUUAUAACAACCCUCUGAGUGACCACGAAGUGUGCGGUCCGUGGAGUUCGUGGGAGCUCAAAGAAGUCUUCAUUCUAAAAUCCAUAGACAAGAAUCCUGUGUCCCUGUCCCAAGUUCUGAUAAAAGGAGAGAGAAAGGAGAGGAGAGAGACCUUACUAUCACCAGGAAAGAAGAGCCAGGAGUACAGCGCAUCCUUUGGACCCGGGGUCCCUGUGCUGAGAACCUCUUAGACACAGGGGAAGAUUGAUGCCAAGACGCAUAGAGAUCUCCAAGGAACAUCAGGCCCACUGAUACCGAGAGGAGACAAGGACCUUCCCCCAAAGCCAACAGAAGAAAAAGACUUCCCCUAGAGUUGGCGCCUGAAUUUGGUCUUCUAGUCUCCUAAACUGUGAGAGAAUAAAUCUCUCUUUGUUAAAGCCAACCAAUUGUGGUAUUUUUGUUAUAGCAGCACUAGAUAACUAAGACAGUCUACUUUUGGACUGGCAGUCCAGGUGGGCCAUAUUCUAGGUAAUUUCUUAGGCUCAAUCUUCCAAUUCUGGAGACCCUAAGUAGCACAAACCAUUAGUGUGCUUGGCUUCUAACAAAAAAGUUGGUGGUUUGAACCCAUCCAGAGGUGCCUUGAAAGAAAGUUCUGGCAAACUACUUCCAAAAAAAUCAGCCACUGAAAACUUCUGAAAAAUCAGUUCUACUCUGAUGCACGUGGGGUCACCAUGAGUCAAAACUGACUUGAUGGCAACUGGUUUGGUUUGGGUUUUUUAUCUUCAAAGUCAGUAAUCUUUCUUCUGCUGUGUCUAAUCUACUGGUCUAACCCAUCCACUGAGUUCUUUUUUUGUUUUCCCCUUGAGUUCUUUAUUUCAGUUUUUCUUUUCUAGAAGUUCUGCAUCUUUUAAAAUCCACCAGGUUAGUCUUGAUAGUCUCUUGCUGCUUGCUCAUUUUUUUGAUCCCAUCUUUUGGAUCACAAAUAUUUCGUUCUCUCAGCAAAUAUUUGUUGAACACCUAUUAUGUUCUAUUUUGUUUUAAUACCUUAUAUCCAAAGCAAGUGUAGGCAAACUAUGGUUCCUGGCCAAUCUGGCCCACUGUCUGUUUUUGUAAUUAAAGUUUUAUUCGAACACAGCCACACCCAUUGAUGUACAUAUUGUCUAGGCUGCUUUCACACUGCAAAAGCAGCGUAAAGUCUAAUAUAUUUACUGUCUGGCUGUUUACAGAAGAAGUUUGCUGACCUUUGAUAUAUAGAGAUAUGCACAGGAACUAAUAACAAAACCGAAAUGGGUACGAACAUAUACUGUUGGGGGCCAGUGCAGUUUGGUACGAUGUUAAUAGAGAACCGUACUGGCUUUCCAUCCAGUAGCUAAUUCUGACAGCUUAGCUUAAGGAAACAACCAGAGAGGUAUACGAAGAGUUGUGUCCUGGGCUGUUAAUGAAAACAUUAUUCAUAAUAGCAAAAAAUUGAAAGCAAUCAACACGUCCAAAAAUGAGGUAUUAAGUAGGUAAUAGUACAUUCAUAGAAAUGUAUGUAAAGAUAUGCAAGCAAAAAAAAAAUCUUGUUUUUGAAUAAUUAUUAACAGUCUGAAAAUGCAGCUCAUAAACAGUAUAUUCAGUAUAAUCACAAUUCUUUAAAAUUAUAGACAGAAAAUAUAACCAUCACUAAAAGCAGUUAUUACUGGGUAGUAGAAUUAAAGGUGAUUUUUAGGGUUUUUUUUCCUGUAUUUUUUAUGUUCAAAUCAGAAAGUUACUUUAAAAACUUUUGAUCUUGAAAUGAUUAUAGAAUCACAGAAAGUUGGAAACAGAGGUCCAAUGUUCUCUUCACCCAGUUUUCCUCAAUGGUUACAUCUUCUGGAAGUAUAGUGCAAUAUCAAAACCAGGACACUUACAUUGGUACAAUACGCAGUGUGUUCUGUCAUUUUAUCACAUGUAUAUAUUUGUGUAACCACCACUCUUCAGGUACUUUAGUGCCCUUGGGUCCCUCUUUGGAUCUUCUUGGUGAGACAGCACUUAACUUCUUGCACCCUUGUAGCAUAAGACCCAUCCCAUGAAGUUCCUGUAUUCAUUUCCUUCAUCCAUCUUAGAGGUCCCUAUGGUUACUCUUACCAUUGUUCUUUGAGUAAUGUUCUAUGAGUAAGGACACUUCUUUGUGAAGUGGCCAAAUUUAAUAUUUUUCAGUCCCUAUUUCUUCUGGAUUGCUCUUCUGCAUUUGACAGUGUUGGAUACUCAGACUUUACACUUUCUAAUUCUUUGGCUUUUGUCACACUUCAUUCUCUUGGUUCUCUUUAUACCCCUCUGACCAUUCCUUGUUAUUUCGCAGCCGUUCAUUCUGUCCAUCCCUUAAACACUCCAGUUUGCCAUGUAUGCACCUUUCUUCACCAUCUAUACUACCAUAGUGUCAUGGACUGAAUUAUGUUCCCCAAAAAAAUGUGUGCAUUGAUUUGGCUGGGCCAUGAUUCCCUGUAUCAUGCGGUUGUCCUCUAAUUUGUGAUUAUAAUUUUACAUUAAAGAGGAAUUCGGGUGGGAUUGUAACACAACCCUUACCCAGGUCACAUCCCUGAUCGAAAGUAAAGGGAGUUUCCCUGGGGCGUGGCCUGCACCACCUUUUACUUCUCAAGAGAUAAAAAGGAAAGGGAAGCAAGCAGAGAGUUGGGGAAGCUCAUACCACCAAGAAAGCAGCCCAAGAGCAGAGUGUCUUUUGGACCUGAGGUUCCUGCUCUCAGAUGCUCCCAGACCAAGACUGAUGACAGGGACCUUCCUCCAAAGCUGUCAGAGAAAGCCUUCCCCUGGAGCUGGUGCCCUGAAUUUGGAAUUCUAGCCUACUAGACUGUGAGAGAAUAAAAUUCUGUUUGUUAAAGCCAUCCACUUGUGUUAUUUCUGUUAUAGCAACACCAGAUGACCAAGACACAUAGUCACAACUGGGUUUUCAAUAUCUCUUAACAAAAAUGUUGGGCUGGCCUCUAAAUCAGCCUCUUUGGUUCUUUUAUACCCCUUUCAGUAGACAUUGCAGCUGUCUUCCUCAUAUCAGGUCCACUCUACUCAACUGCACACUACCUGGGAUUUGAUCUUAGUGUCAGGAGUGGCCACUAACUGGGUUGGGCUAAAUCAUGGAGGCCUUAUUCCCUUGCAAUUGGUUAAGGAACUUGAGCCUAAGUGAUUCAGGAUCUGGCAUUGCCUUGGCUACAGGGUUUGGUUCAGAAAUGGGCACAUCACCCAAUUUGGAUCAAUGAGAUAGGGGAAUUUGUUAGAGGCACCUCAGCCUAUUAAGUGCUGUGAUGCUUAAGAUUGUGUCAGCUUGGCUGGGCCAUGAUUCUCAGUAUUUUGGCAGUUGUGUAAUGUUGUAGUCACUUCCCUAUUGAAAUUUGAUACAUGAUCACCACCAUGAUGGGAUCUCCUGUGAGUAGCCAAUCAGUUAAAAGGGAGUUUCCUUGGCCAUGUGGCCUUCAUCAAGUGUGGGCAGACAUUGAGGCAGGGCUGACGGGCUUUUGCUGGUUCUGGAUCCUAGCAGCUAGCUCCUUUUUGUCUGACUUCCAGUCCUUGGGACUUGAGCUAGCAGCUUACCUGCAGUCUUUCCUGCUGAUCUCAGGAUUCGUCAAUCUUCACAGCCUGUGAGCAACAGUCUUGCUCUCCAGCCUGCCAAUCUUGGGUUCGCCAGCCCCUGCAGCUACGUAAAUCAGGAGAAGCCUCUUUCCAGACCAAUAAACUUGGAACGUUCCAGCCUCUACAACCUCGUGAACCAUUUCCUUGAUAUAAAUCUCUCUUUAUAUAUAUAUAUUUAUAUGCUACACUGGUUUUGCUUCUCUAGAGAACCCAGCCUAAGACAAGGGCAGUGAAGGUUCACAACUUUUUGUUCCUCUAAAUGUUAUUAUGUGUGAAUGUGAAGGCCAGAUUUACUACGGCCGCCGUCUUUCCACCUGUCAGAAGAUGAAACUGACACAUGGACGAAAGCAGAGAAAUGGAGCUGAGCCACUGGAUUAAGCCAGCCUUGAAAUCCACCCAAGAUCUAGGUUGCUAGGUAUAUAAAUCAACUUUUAUUCACUGUUUAAGACAAUCUGUGCUGAUUUUUCUGUUAUUGGAAGCUGACAGCAUCCAGAUAUACAUUUAAAUCCAUCCUAACAUGGCUGCAAAAAUUAUAUAUAUGCCACCUUGUCAACAUCCCCACUGCCUACAGGAUAAAGUCCAGACUCCUCGAAAUGACAUAAAUCUUUCUCUUUGUCUAUAUUCUGUGCCUAACUAGCUCCUUGAAGAAAGAAAAUAGGUCUUAAUCACCUCUCUAUUCUCAAAGUCUGGCAAAAUGCUGACAUACAGUUGAGUGGCAUUAAAGAUGCCUUGCUAGAAGUAUGAAUCUAUCAGGCAAUAAAUCUGUGAUUUAGGGCUCUAAACCCAGAAGUCCCGACCUUCUCAGGGCUCAAGUCUACCUUGUUUGAGUGGAGAAAGUAUAUAUAAGAUGCUACUGUUUUUUGUUUUUUUAAAGAAAUGAGGGUGAGUACAUACAUAUGUACUUGCUUAUUAUGAGGAAAGAAGAGUGGAAGGAUAACAUUAGAACAUAUAAAAUGGUAUCUAUGAGGGAACGGAGGAAAUAGAGGAGACGGAGAGAAAUUAGAAUCUUUUAAAAAUACCUUGUUUUGUAGAUUUGAUUUUGGAAUGAUAUACGUAUUCGUGUAAUUAUAAAAAAAAUAAUUUCUUAAAAAAGUAAUCCCUGAUACUCAAAGUAAAAUAAAUUAACUAUCCAGUUAGUACACACAAAAGAACUAUUACAAGAGACAUAAACAGUAAUUUGUCUGGCCAUACCUAGUGGGAGAGAUCUUAAAAAAGUUAAAAAGAAUUGCAAAAACAAAAACUUCAAAGCAAAAAACAACAAAAAAAAAACCCAAACAAACCAUAAACUUACUAUCCUUAAUUGCAGUUUUGGUAUUAUUAUUCUUAGACUUUAUUUGUAAUUACAUUGGUAUCAUGGAGAAGCAAAAUUUUCUCACAAGUGAACACAAAUUUUAAGAUUUAUGAGGUUAGUAAAAAAUCUUGCAGCCCUGAUUUGGAUGUGAAGUAUCAGUAUGAAUACCAGAUGCACUUUUUAUAAAGUUUUAUUGAGAUAUAAUUCACACACCAUACAAGUCAUCCAUAUAAAGUGUACGAUGUGAUGGCUUUAAAAAAUCAUAUUCAGAGUUGUGCAACUACCAUCACAAUCAAUUUUAGAACAUUUUCAUCACUCUAGAAAGGAGCUGUCUACUCAUUAGCAGUCACUCCCCCUUCCUCCCUCCCCCAAUCCUUGGAAACAACUAAUCUUUUUUUCUUGGCUCCAUGGAUUUGCCUAUUCUGAACAUUCACAUAAAUGGAAUCAUACAAUAUGUGCUCUUUUGUGACUGGCUUCCAUCACUUAGCUUAAUGUUUUCAAGGUUCAACAAUUUUGUAGCAUGUAUCAGUAUUUCAUUGAUUUUCAUUACCAAAUAUGUCCUUGUAUGGAUACAGGAUAGAUAUGAGUCAGAAUUGACUCCAUAGCAGUGGGUUGGGGUUUGGUUUGUAUGGACAUAACACAUUUUGUUUAUCCAUUUAUCAGUUGAUGGACAUUUGGGUUGAAUUCUACAUUUUGGUCAUGUACAGGUUUUUGUGUGGAUGCUUUUACUUUUCUUGGAUAUAUAGCUGCCUAGGAGGUGAAUUGCUGGGUCAUGUAACUUUGUUUUUCCUUUUGAUGAAUUACCAGACUCUUUUCCAAAGUCCUACAACAUUUUGUAUUUCCACCAACAGUGUAUGAAAGUUCUAAUUUUCUUACAUCCUUACUGCACUUUUUGACUUGAAUUUCCCUAUAGGGUUGCUGUGAGUUGGAAUCGACUCAACAGCAAUUUUUUCUUUUUUUUAUGAUCAGUGAGGUUGAGCAUCUUUUCAUAUACUCGCUGUCCAUUUGUAUAUCCUCUUUGGGAAAUGUCUAUUCAGAUAUGUAAAAAAUGGCCCUGGGGUGUUGGACAUCCUUGUCUAACUUCUCAAGGGGAAGGAGAGAGAUUCAAGGUCAACAUCAGUUCAAGGCUGACCUCUGUGAGGUGGAGGUGAGACAUACCUCCUCUCUCCAGCCCUUUUACCUAUUC